CAGUUUCUUCGUUGACCCACUGCUCACGCUAGCUGGUCUCUCUCACUCUCUCAUGCUUAGGGUUUCUUUCUUCUCUCUUUCCUCCUCGAGAGGUAACGGAAGUCUCUCUGCGUAUCGUUUUUACCUCAAUUUUCAAGUCAAGCUCCUGUAAUUUCCUGUUUCCCCCCCCUCUUUGUCUUUAAUUCCUUCUCUCUGCGUUUACUCUUUUUGUUUUUUGUGCUGGUUUGUUUUGGUCUACUCUAUCUGAACCGCAUAAAAUGAUAAAUUAGUCUGAGGGUUUGUUUACUUUGAAUUGUUGGGUUUGUGUUUGCUACUUCUAUUUGGCUUCAUUUAUUGUCAAUUUUGUGGGGGAGAUUUGGAUUUUUGGAGAAGGAUUAUACAGGAGAUUUGGGUUUCUGUAAUAGUUUCAACCUUUAAGAUUUGAGUUGGAUUUUUAGCAGAUUCAGGUUGGUAUUUUGGGCUGAAGUUUAACAGUUUGUUUAUUGUAUUUCAGCUCUAGGGUUUGCUUGUGUGUGUGGGAUUUUAUUAACUAUUAGGCUUUUGGAGCUGAAUUCUGGGGUUCCAGUCUGGCUUUGAAGCUUUGUUAGUGGAUUAGAAUUCGUUGAAGCCUUGGUUAUUCAAGUUGACUGUGGAGACCUUUAGUGCUUGCGCUAGGAUUUUGAGGUUUGGAUUUUGUUUUGCUGGGCUCUUGGAUGGUCUGACUCUUUGAUUUUCUGAUAAAAUUGGUGUUUUGGGGUGAAGUUAGAUUGGUUUGUCAAGCAUGGAUAACUCGAAAAACAGGCAGCAGAAUGAUCAUUUAGGUGUCAACAAGAUGGGUAAGAAUAUAAGGAAGAGCCCAUUGCACCAACCCAAUUUUGCUAACAAUGCUAAUAGGCAACAACCUCAGCCACAAGUCUACAAUAUAAGCAAGAAUGAUUUUAGGAAUAUUGUUCAGCAACUAACCGGCUCACCAUCGCAUGAGCCUUUGCCUAGACCUCCACAAAAUCCACCCAAAGCCCAAAGUAUGCGGUUGCAGAAGAUUAGGCCACCCCCUUUAACUCCGAUCAACAGACCCCAUAUUCCCCCUCCAAUACCAGCUCCACCAGUGGCAUCACCCCCUGUUCCUUUCAACAAUGGUUUUGUUAGGCCUGGCCAAUUUGGUCAACCGGCUCCAACAAUGAUGCCAUCAAUGGCACCUGGGGAGUCAGCUUGGUCUAAUACGGCAGAGUCUCCAAUCUCAGCUUACAUGCGAUAUCUUCAGAAUUCAAUCAUGGAUCCUAGUCCAAGGGCAAACCUAGCUCAACCACCGUUACAGCAACCGCAAGCACAAGGUCCGGGGCAAUUUCAACAUCAGCCACCAUCUUCUGGUUUACUUCCUAAUCCGCAUGUGCCUGCGCUACCUUCGCCAAGAUUAAAUGGUCCUGUCCCCCCUAUGCCUAGUGUUCCCUCCCCGCAAAUGUAUGGCGCUGCCGUUUUACCUUCACCCACAUCUCAGUUCCUUUUACCAUCUCCCACUGGUUACAUGAAUUUACUUUCUCCACGGUCUCCUUAUCCAUUAUUUUCUCCUGGGAUUCAGUUUCCAUCACCAUUGACGCCGAAUUUUGCAUUACCGACUCAAUCUGGGAUUUUAGGUCCAGGGCCUCAACCUCCACCUUCACCAGGUCUUGUAUUUCCAUUAUCACCUACAGGUUUUUUCCCCCUUUCAAGUCCAAGAUGGAGGGAUCAAUAGUCCAAGAGGUUAUAUUGUUGUUCUGCAGAGUCAUGUGCUCGAAGAGGAGCUGGUACUAUUUGUGGAUGCACAUCUUUAUUUCAGUUUUGCAGCUUGGUUUGGAUUAUUAUCUUUAACAGCUGCUAUGUUUUUUAAUUUCACGGAAAAUAGUUGAGUUGAGAAUCGACUCGAAUGACAACUACAUAAGAGCUGUAACAUCUAGCAUGAAGACAGAGAUAAGGAUUCUUGUGUGCUUGUACUCUUGUGGAUUAAAUCUUAAUAAGGUUUUAAGUUUGAAUUCUUUCCAUUUGAAAGAAUCCUCAAUACAUUUCACUUUUCUUUCGUCGUUUGUGUAAAACGCUUUGCCGUUAAAUUUAUGUUGUCCUUCUGGGCCUGAGUUUCAA